rnacentral:rRNA from 1 species
UAACUUUCAACAACGGAUCUCUUGGCUCUUGCAUCGAUGAAGAACGCAGCGAAAUGCGAUAAGUAAUGUGAAUUGCAGAAUUCCGUGAAUCAUCAAAUCUUUGAACGCAAAUUGCACUCUUUGGUAUUCCGAUGAGUAUGCUUGUUUGAGGGUUGUUCC